rnacentral:rRNA from 1 species
CCAUACCACCCUGGAUGCGCCCAUUCUCAUCUGAUCUCGGAAGCUAAGCAAGGUGGGGCCUGGUUAGUACUUGGAUGGAAAAGUUUUUUUUAAUCCAAUGUGGCCCCCAAGGCAAGCCGGUG